GCUUCGUGGUCUGAUGUCAGACCAUGUGGUACCGACCAAUGGGGGCUAGGUUUAACUGCACGCCUGCGCAGUAUAUAUACCUAACACCUAUUCAUGUGAGCGAGACGGAGAAAGAACAACGGUCGUCGUCAUCGUGGCGCAGCAGCAGAUGAUGAACAAGGGUGGGGGAAGGGAAGCACGCGGCAUCAGGAACACGAACUGCAGGAAGUGAGACGAGGGAGGUGAUAUUGGUAGGUACACACAGCCAACAAGUUCCGUAAAGCUGAAUAUUACUACUAUUCUCCUCGUCAUGAUUGUAAUCAGGGCGCGCCGCGAAGGUCGAAUGGGUCUAACCGAGAAGUUCUUCGUAUCAGUUGACUUAUGCAUGUAUAGCUAUGAAUAAAAAAAAAAUAGAUUUCGCCCCUUGUGUACGCGUGUGUCUCCUCCACUACGGGCCUUAGGGACCUUUGUGGUAACCUUGGACGGAUGUGUAUAUAUCAGUGGCAAACCCUGAUUUUUCUACCGAGUAAACAAAAAACGCCCGAAGUGAAAAAAUUGAGCUUCGACAGUAACAUAAUUAUAGAUAUUUAAUUUAAAAAAUCAUGUAUUCAAUAGUAAUUGCUCCCUUUUAAAGAACACCAUACAAAGAUACUAGUUUAGUUUAUGGAAAAGGAGGUGCCCACUUGGACAUGGAGGUAUAAUUGUAUUUUUUCUUAAAUUUUGUUGCGGAAGCGUAAGUAUUUUACUAUAUUGGCGAAAUUUUAAGAGCAAAAAAAUGUUUUGUUCGCUCGGCUUAUGAAUAAAACCGCAUAGUUACCGCCACAAAUUUUGAAGGAAAUAAUGAUGUUUUCCGAGUUAGCAUCUACGACAUCACCGCGACUGAAUUAGCAUAAUGUUAAAGAAGUUCUGCAUUGCACCUAUGUUACAUCA